rnacentral:rRNA from 1 species
UACGGGGGGGGGCAAGCGUUGUUCGGAAUUACUGGGCGUAAAGGGCUCGUAGGCGGCCAACUAAGUCAGACGUGAAAUCCCUCGGCUUAACCGGGGAACUGCGUCUGAUACUGGAUGGCUUGAGGUUGGGAGAGGGAUGCGGAAUUCCAGGUGUAGCGGUGAAAUGCGUAGAUAUCUGGAGGAACACCGGUGGCGAAGGCGGCAUCCUGGACCAACACUGACGCUGAGUGAGCGAAAGCCAGGGGAGCAAACGGG